AAGUCGUAACAAGGUCUCCGUAGGUGAACCUGCGGAGGGAUCAUUACCAGAAGCCGCGUCGGCCGCGAGGCCGGCGCCUUCGCCCUACCCUUUGUGAAUCGAAUCCGAUUUCCCCGGGGGACCCCGCCGCCCGGCGGGCCCCCGGCGGACCCCCCCUCAACUCGUGUUGUAUCUGCCGUCCGAGUCGCAAACGCAAUCAAAACAAAACUUUCAACAACGGAUCUCUUGGUUCUG
rnacentral:misc_RNA from 1 species